rnacentral:rRNA from 1 species
GUGAGCGUGCGGGCGAUACGGGCAGACUUGAGUACUGCAGGGGAGACUGGAAUUCCUGGUGUAGCGGUGGAAUGCGCAGAUAUCAGGAGGAACACCGGUGGCGAAGGCGGGUCUCUGGGCAGUAACUGACGCUGAGGAGCGAAAGCGUGGGGAGCGAACAGGAUUAGAUACCCUGGUAGUCCACGCCGUAAACGGUGGGUACUAGGUGUGGGUUUCCUUCCUUGGGAUCCGUGCCGUAGCUAACGCAUUAAGUACCCCGCCUGGGGAGUACGGCCGCAAGGCUAAAACUCAAAGAAAUUGACGGGGGCCCGCACAAGCGGCGGAGCAUGUGGAUUAAUUCGAUGCAACGCGAAGAACCUUACCUGGGUUUGACAUGCACAGGACGCCGGCAGAGAUGUCGGUUCCCUUGUGGCCUGUGUGCAGGUGGUGCAUGGCUGUCGUCAGCUCGUGUCGUGAGAUGUUGGGUUAAGUCCCGCAACGAGCGCAACCCUUGUCUCAUGUUGCCCAGCGGGUAAUGCCGGGGACUCGUGAGAGACUGCCGGGGUCAACUCGGAGGAAGGUGGGGAUGACGUCAAGUCAUCAUGCCCCUUAUGUCCAGGGCUUCACACAUGCUACAAUGGCCGGUACAAAGGGCUGCGAUGCCGUGAGGUGGAGCGAAUCCUUUCAAAGCCGGUCUCAGUUCGGAUCGGGGUCUGCA